rnacentral:rRNA from 1 species
GACGAACGCUGGCGGCGUGCUUAACGCAUGCAAGUCGGACGCAAAUGCCCUGCGUUUUUGGUGUGCGCGAGUUGCGAACGAGUGAGUAACACGUGAGUAACCUGCCCUUGACUUUGGGAUAGCUUCAGGAAACUGGGGCUAAUACCGGAUAUGGGCUCCUGCUGCAUGGUGGGGGUUGGAAAGUUGCGGCGGUUGGGGAUGGACUGGCGGCGUAUCAGCUUGUUAGGGGGGUAGUGGCUUACCCAUGCUUUGACAGGUAGCCGGCCUGAGAGGGUGACCGGACAAAGCGGGACUGAGCUACGGCCCAGCCCCGAACGGGACGCAGCGGUGGAGAAUAGUGUACAAGGGGCGGAACGCUAAUGCAGCCACGCAGCGUGGGGGAUAACGGCACUCGGGUCGUAAUCCGCUUUCGCCUGGGACGAAGUGUGAGUGACGGUAACCGGUAAAGAAGCCCCGGCUAACUACGUG